rnacentral:rRNA from 1 species
ACGCAAGUUGCGCCCGAAGCCUCCGUGCCGAGGGCACGUCUGCCUGGGCGUCACGCAUCACGUCGCCCSMCGCCACCGAGUCCCACGGGAUCUGUCGGCGUUGGGUUGGAAGUUGGCCUCCCGUGCGCCCGCACGUGCGGUUGGCCCAAAUACGAUCCGGCACUGGCGCGUGCCUCGACAAUUGGUGGUUGAACUACUCAACUCGCGCGUUGUCGGGAGCUCCAGCGCGCCAAGCUCUCCGGAUGCGUUGGCCCUCACGGUGCACUGCACCCUCGACUGCGACCCCAGGUCAGGCGGGACUACCCGCUGAGUUUA